rnacentral:rRNA from 1 species
UACGUAGGGUCCAAGCGUUAUCCGGAAUCACUGGGCGUAAAGCGUGCGUAGGUGGCGCGUUUAAGUGAGAUGUUAAAUCGUGUGGCUCAACCAUAUCGAUGUAUCUCAUACUGGCGUGCUAGAGGACAGCAGAGGCAAGUGGAAUUUGUAGUGUAGCAGUGAAAUGCGUAGAUAUUACAAGGAACACCAUGGCGAAGGCAGCUUGCUGGGCUACUCCUGACACUGGAGGUACGAAAGCGUGGGGAGCGAACAGG